rnacentral:rRNA from 1 species
UACGGAAGGGGCGAGCGUUGUUCGGAAUCAUUGGGCGUAAAGGGCGCGUAGGUGGUCCUGUAUGUCUACCGUGAAAGCGUACGGCUCAACCGUAUUUUGUCGGUAGAAACUGCAGGACUUGAGGCUGGGAGGGGCUGGUGGAAUUCCCUGUGUAGCGGUGAAAUGCGUAGAUAUUGGGAGGAACACCAGUGGCGAAGGCGGCUCACUGGACCGGAACUGACGCUGAGGUGCGAAAGCGUGGGUAGCAAACGGG